AGUAGGGGGAAAAAAAUCUUGUAUAUGAUGAUAGUGACAUUAUUGAUAUACUUGUGCAUUGACCCGCGUGUUACAGCGGGUAGAUACUGUUAAAGUGAAAAUUUGUAAAAAAUAAAAUAUCAGUUUAGUAUAAAAAAUAAUUAGUCUAUAUUAUAGACAAACACUUUUUUUAGCAAAAAACUAUAAUGAAAAAGAAUCAAUCGUUCCAACAAAAUUAUUCAAUCUUGUUCAAAAGAGAUCGCAUAUCAUGCAAAUGAAUGAUUAAAAUUAUUUUUAUAACACAAUAAUCAAAAAAUAUCAUAUUGCAGUUAAUAUGACUAAAGAAAGGCUCAUAAUAAUACGUAAGAUAAUUUAUAAGUAUUAUAUAUAUAUAAAUAUAUAUAUAUAGGGACAAAAAAAACUGAAGCAAAUAUAAUACUGCAUUAAAAUGUGAAAAAGUUAAAAAAAAAAAAAAGUAGGCCCCACUUCUUCUCAAAUUAAGGGGGUGGGUACAUGUAGGAUUUAAUCAUAGGGAUUAAUGUAUAGGUAUAGANCUCAAAUUAAGGGGGUGGGUACAUGUAGGAUUUAAUCAUAGGGAUUAAUGUAUAGGUAUAGAUGGUCUGUUUGUUUCAACGUAAAUAGAUUUUGGAUUCAAGUAGACUUUGGGUUGAACUAAAGUUCAGGUGAAAAUUACUUUAUCUCCGCUGUUUAUUUCUAUAGCUGUGAAGUGAAGUUCUGCCAAUUCUGUUAUUUGUUUAGUAGGAAGUGAAUGAAAUAAAAAGUGCGGUUCUUCAUUUACUCUGUUUGUUUUAUUGAAAAUUAUUUAAUCUCCGCACCCCCAUAAACUUACCUCCUACAUAAUAUUAUUGUCUCUUUUGUAACUUAAUAAAUAAUAAAUUAUAAAAAAUAAAUAAAAAAUAAUACAAUUAUAUUUCUAUACAAUUAUAAAAUAAAAUUUAAAAUAAUUAUAUUAAUUUUUUAUAUAAAUUAUAAUAAUGCAACAAAUAAAAUUUUAAAUUUAAAGAAUUAUUAAUAUUUAAAAAUUAAUUUUCAUCGUAUUUUUUAUGCCCCAACUUCCCAGGGGGUCAUCCAUCCUACGACUACUUCCGUCAAAACACACUUAACUCUCUUAACCUCUUGAAUCUAACCACUGCCCAAAAUACUUAAGCUGGAUUAAAAGUAUUAGCCCUAUUAUAUCAUAUAUAUAUAGGACUAUCUGGGGACUCGCAUUCUAAGGCUACUCUCGUCCUAGCACACUUAACUC
rnacentral:lncRNA from 1 species